UACCUAGUCUUGGUGUGCUUCUUGCUGGGUAUAUAAUACUCUCUUUCUCUCUCUCUCUCUCUCUCUCUCUCUCUCUCUCAUGAUGGAUAUCUUCAUUACUCUUGAGGCUUUUUCUUGAAUCUUGAGAGACCACCAAGAAAUAACAAUAAUGUAUCGUAUAGUCUGUAGUCAUAAGAAAUUAAAAUAGGAAUUGUGGAGGCCCAUGUCCCCUCUCUCUCUCUUGCUUCUCUUUGGUCGUCCUCGUCAUUUUCAGUGCUAAAACUCUUUUAUUUUAUCUUUUUUUUUUUUUUUUACACAGAGACAUAACCUGCAAAAGCCUACAAACCACUCCUAAUAAAGCCUUACGAGAAGAAGACAACAUUAUCCCUCCAAAACCUACCAGCCUUUUUCAUUAUUUUACUCUUACAAUAACCUGUCUAUCAUGUGCUUUUCCUUUGUUUAUCUUUUCUCUUCCCUCCAUUUGCUUUCUUUGUCUCACCUUAUUUCGUAUACUUGAGUACUUCGCAUCCUUGCUUGCUGGGUUUUUGAUUGUUGAAUCAUGAGAAUAAAGAGGUAGCUAGCUCUACCCUAUAGAAAAUCCUUGGAAGAAGGAAAAGAGGUGUUUGGAAUGAAGUUUGAUCCAAGAUCCUUGUUUCUCCUAUAGUGUUUGAUUUUGGUUUGUUUUAUUUUAAUUUUUUUGAAGGGGAUUGAGAUUUAUUUUUGAGUCUUAAUGUUUGGUUUGAUUAGUUGUUGCAUCAUGGGAAAGAUUGAAGAAGGGAGAUUUUUCUUGUGAAGUUUCAAGAUCCUCACCCCCUCUUCUCUGUCUCUGUGUGUGUGCGUGUGAGAGAGAGAGAGAGAUUGAAGAAGGGUAGAGAGUUUUUGAUAAAGUAAAUUCAAGAUCCUUUUCUUUCUUCUCUCUCUUUGUGUGUGUUGAAGGAGAGAAAGAAAGCUUGAAAAUUUUGCAGUAUAAUAUCAUAGACUGAUCUCGGACCAGGCUUCAUUCCUCACACCAAGCUUUUCCAAGCUGAAAUACGAUAAAACCCCAAAGAAGAAGCGUUCUGAAAUGGAUCACCAUAUAUAUGGUUGUUUGGCCUUGGCAUAUGCAGAAGGAACGUCUCUUCACUCACUGCUCAUUGGAAUGCUAAAUGCUUUCCAUUCUAAGAUUCUCUCUCUGUUUGCGUUUGUUCGCUUACAAGCUUCGUUUUGUGAACCGAGAAGCUUGGUUGACACAGCUGCUUCUUCUCAAUUCAAAAUCAAGAGAAAGGGCCCGAGGAGGAUCUAUUGAGGCCAGAGAACAAAAAGGGAAGAAUCAAUUGAAGCAAAGGCAGAGAGGGCAAAGAAAUCGACAAGAGAUAGAAAGUGGCAAGGGCAGCAGGCAAAGAGAGAGCAGCGUAUUUACCAUCAGAAAAGGAGAGAGAAAAAUAUGAAGAUAUAAUUAAAGGAAGAGUGAAAAAUAACGAAACAUAUAAAUUAUGUAGAAGUGUUUACAUAUUUUGAAAAUUUUAAGUUAAUGGGAUCAAAAAUCAGACACAUAUGUAUAAUGAAGCAUAAAAAGGAAUAGCUAAGGUGCAACUCACCAUGAAUUUAACUAAAAUAAUUAUUGACAAUUGGCCAAAUGUAUAAACGGGGUCUAUGCACUUUCUAUCAUAAUUUCAAAAGUUUCUUUUUUAAAUAA